AUGUCGUCGCUCGCUGCCGGCUACGGGCUGGACUUGGACCUGGAGUUGGGGAUCUGGUUCGCGGGCCUCUUCUCGGCGCCGGAACUGGCGGCGGCUGACCUGCUGCUGCAGCUCAGCGUACUCGGAGAGGCGGAGGCCACGAAGCCCUCGCGGUCUUCGGCCAGUUCGUGCUGCGAGGGCCUCUCCGUCGGGGUGGAGGAGCGGGUCUUCGAGGAGACCCCGUCGUCGCCGUCCACGGAGCUGCUGGACGCGAGGGCGAGGAAGAGGUACCGCCCGCUGUCAGAGCUCUACUCCGACACGAUCCCGCCGACCUCCGCCGCCGCCGCCGUGAAGAAGAAGAGGAGGAAGACGCACCACGACCACCGCGGGGCGUCAUCGUCAUGGGAGUCGGAGGCCACGAGGUACGGCGGAGACUACUAG
rnacentral:rRNA from 1 species